ACUGUUAGCAGCGUAGGAUUGAGGAGUUGCAGGAGAGUUUUAGAACAGCUGGUCAUUAUGCCGACCAGGUAUCCGCACUAAGUUCAGCAUAGAUAUGGCGACCUCCUGGGAGCGGGGGGACACCAGGGUUGCCUAUGAAUGGGGGAACUGGCCCAGGGCAGAAAUGGAGCAUGUCAGAACUCCUGUGUUGAUUGGUAGUGGGACUGCACCUGGGCAACGUAGGGAGACCUUGGCUCUUCAAAAAAAUAAAAGU
ensembl:misc_RNA Metazoa_SRP Metazoan signal recognition particle RNA